rnacentral:rRNA from 1 species
UACGAAGGUGGCAAGCGUUACUCGGAAUGACUAGGCGUAAAGCGCAGGUAGGUGGUAUGGAAAGUCUGUAAUGGAAUCUCCCGGCUUAACUGGGAGGGGUUUAUGGAAACUUCCGUGCUUGAGUGUGGGAAGGGAUUCUGGAAUUCCAGGUGUAGCGGUGAAAUGCGUAGAUAUCUGGAGGAACACCAAUGGCGAAAGCAGGAAUCUGGCCCAAUACUGACACUGAGCUGCGAAAGCUAGGGGAGCAAACAGG